AACAUUCAUAUUUUUGAAAAUCUAAAUCCUGGGACAUUAUUGUGAUUUUUUUUCUAUGCAAAGGUGUUAAUAUAGUUUCAGCCGUGCUAACUUACUAAUCUGAUUUUACAGUCUCACCCAUACACCGAGAGUGUACGUGGAUAAUGCAUCGAUAUAUAUAGUGACUUGAUAUUUAUGUUUGGGAGUGAUUGUGCCCAUGGCUCAUUUGCCAGUACCGAGUACUCUUCACCACUCUCCGGUAGACACCGCCAAAGAGAUGAGGUCGAUUCAAACGAUGAUUCUGAUGAAAAUGGUACUGAAACUAUUCGUCUUUCUUCAGAUGAUGAGGAUGACUAAGAUAGUAGUUUGGCGUGUCGUCUCGAUGACGAAUCACAGCAACGGUCAAAAAGGGUUAAUAAAGGCCCUAUGGAGACCUCAAGAGGGUCUAGAAACAGUCAAAGCACCGCUACUGGCAUGCCCCGACAACGAAGGGGUAAGCCGAGUGACCCCAUUGGCAACAAGAUGGGCGAAAUGGCUGAGGCUGUCAGGACCCUAACCAUUACUAUAGCACAGGGCAAGACUACAAGCCGACUCCAAAAGUUGUUGGGCAUACUAGAGAAAGUAGGUGGUCUCAGCCAUGAGGAUCAGGUCUGGGCUACUCACCUAUUGUAGGAAGAUAUUGAGUGGGUGCAGAAGCUCCUCGACUGCAAUGCCCCUGUUUGAAAUAUUGUUGGCUUGGCUGGACGAGGAUUUUUAAACAACUAAACUCUUUUUUUUCUUUGUUUGUGUAUAUUUUGAAGUGGAUUUCGGUUGGAUAGAUUAAGUGCUUCAUAAGUACCCAACACUCUGCUCUAUGGUUCUUCUACAUACUUUCCUAACUGAUGAUCACACCAUCUAUAAUAUAUGUUGCUUCGUAAUCUGUUUUCUCCGUGAUCUAACUAAAAUGGGAGUAUUAUGAAUUUAAUAAGUGCAGGUACAAUAGAGUAUCUGUCUCUGAACACAUGCGCGGUCGACUAAUACAUCGUGGAAGUUGUGGUUAUUUGAUUAGUCUGACUAACCGGUUGUUUGAAUCUUCAUCAUAUCAUAUCAAUCUAGGUUGUUAUGUUCAUUUUAAUGUGAAGCUUCUGAUGAUACGUGAUGUUUUUUUGUUUUGUUUUCUGAACGGCUAAAAAUAUAUCUCCUGAUCAUUGAACUUGUAUAAAGCAUAUAUUCAAAAACAGGGUAAGCAUAUUCUUGUCACAGCAGGAAAAUAUCAGAUUCCAUAAUUUCAUGGAAUUGAAUGUUAAUUUAUCACUAAUUGAAAUUUACUAAUGAGGUGAGACUACAAAUGUAUUUAUCACUUCUUGUCACAGUAGGGAAAUAUCAGAUUUCAUCCUAUUUUGUAAUAUAUACUAACAGUUUCGAUUGACUAGUUUGUUGUGUUUUACUACAGUCACUUCUUAUUAAGUACGUCUCAUGUUGAAUUUUUUUCAAGAACAUAUGGGAAAAUAUUAUGUGGUCUUUGUGGGCAGAGCUCCAGGCCUAUAUGACAGGUGAGAGGAUGCUCGUGUGUAGGUUGAUCGAUACCAUGGAUGUAAACACCAAUCGUAUAGGUCAUACGAUAAGGCUGCGACAACUUGGGAUAAUUUUCAGGCCACAAGGCAGAUAUCAUCAUCGUUCAGCAUCCCUGUAAGUAAAGACAACUUAGGAGGAAUUCGUCAUGAGGGACCUUCCAGGAGAUUCGUGUCUGAAGCUCCGAGUGCU